rnacentral:rRNA from 1 species
GACGAACGCUGGCGGCGUGCUUAACACAUGCAAGUCGAACGGAAAGGCCUCUUUCGGGGGGUACUCGAGUGGCGAACGGGUGAGUAACACGUGAGUAACCUGCCCUUGACUUUGGGAUAACUUCAGGAAACUGGGGCUAAUACCGGAUAGGAGCUCCUGCUGCAUGGUGGGGGUUGGAAAGUUUCGGCGGUUGGGGAUGGACUCGCGGCUUAUCCGCUUGUUGGUGGGGUAGUGGCUUACCAAGGCUUUGACGGGUAGCCGGCCUGAGAGGGUGACCGGCCACAUUGGGACUGAGAUACGGCCCAGACUCCUACGGGAGGCAGCAGUGGGGAAGAUUGCACAAUGGGUGGAAGCCUGAUGCAGCAACGCCGUGUGCGGGAUGACGGCCUUCGGGUUGUAAACCGCUUUCGCUCAUGACGAAGCGUUGUGUGACGGUAGUGGGUAAAGAAGCACCGGCUAACUACGUG